GCCAUUUGCUACACUGUUGGUGCAAAAUGUAACUUGGGCAGCAGAAAUGGUGGAAAACAGUGUGAUUGACUUCCUUUGGAGGAGAAGGUGCUUUAAGAGCAAUCUCUCCUCGAAUGGGCGGGGCGGGAGUGAAGUGGGCGGGGCCAGAGCGAGGGGGCGUGGCAUUCUCUACGCCCGCCCUCCUUGGAGGAGAGAUUGCCUUUCAGUCUUCAAUGUCUUCGCGAGGCUGGGCAAAGCGAGGCGUCGUGAGCAGCAAGAAGGGAGAUCAGAGCCGUGCAGAACAAAGCUCUGUCACAACGGUGUUUCCUGGUUGUCGCCUCCUGCCUGCAAGUGGCUGAAGGCUUUCCCCGGCUUGAUAUCAUCAUGCAGAAAAGGAUGAAGGCGACGCAAUGAGCGGUUCAGGUACUGACGGAGUCCCAGUCAGAUGCUUCCUUAUGGAAUUCUUACCUCCUUUUUGUUGGCUGAACACAAAAUAGUAACUGUGGGAGCACAAGAACCACUUUGGGUAUUGGAUUUUAGACUGGACCAUUGGACAGCGUGACUUACCUGGCUG
rnacentral:lncRNA from 1 species